GAUGAACGCUAGCGGCAGGCCUAAUACAUGCAAGUCGAACGGGAUUUGGGAGCUUGCUUCCAAUGAGAGUGGCGCACGGGUGCGUAACACGUAUGUAACCUACCUUAAUCUGGGGGAUAGCCUCUCGAAAGAGAGAUUAACACCGCAUAACAUCACACCAUAGCAUUUUGGUAGUGAUCAAAUAUUUAUAGGAUUAAGAUGGGCAUGCGGAACAUUAGCUAGUUGGUAAGGUAAUGGCUUACCAAGGCUACGAUGUUUA
rnacentral:rRNA from 1 species